ensembl:snRNA U2 U2 spliceosomal RNA
AUCGCUUCUCGGCCUUUUGGCUAAAAUCAAGUGUAGUAUCUGUUCUUAUCAGUUUAAUAUCUGAUACGCUCUCUAUCCGAGGACAAUAUAUUAAAUGGAUUUUUGGAGCAGGGAGAUGGAAUAGGAGCUUGCUCCGUCCACUCCACGCAUCGACCUGGUAUUGCAGUACNNNNNNNNNNGGAAUGGGAUCCACCCGGAAUUGAACUUCCCUC